AUUGAACGCUGGCGGCAUGCCUUACACAUGCAAGUCGAACGGCAGCACGGGAGCAAUCCUGGUGGCGAGUGGCGAACGGGUGAGUAAAGUAUCGGAACGUGCCCAGUCGUGGGGGAUAACGUAGCGAAAGUUACGCUAAUACCGCAUACGAUCUAUGGAUGAAAGCGGGGGAUCGCAAGACCUCGGGCGCUUGGAGACGCCGAUUUCAGAUUGGGUAGUUGGUGGGGUAAAGGCUCACCAAGCCGACGAUCUGUAGCUGGUCUGAGAGGGCGCCCAGCCACACUGGGACUGAGACACGGCCCAGACUCCUACGGGAGGCAGCAGUGGGGAAUUUUGGACAAUGGGCGAAAGCCUGAUCCAGCCAUGCCGCGUGCAGGAUGAAGGCCUUCGGGUUGUAAACUGCUUUUGUACGGAACGAAAAGGUUUGGCCUAAUAAGCUGAGCUCAUGACGGUACCGUAAGAAUAAGCACCGGCUAACUACGUGCCAGCAGCCGCCGUAA
rnacentral:rRNA from 1 species